rnacentral:rRNA from 1 species
CCAAAGUAACGGCGAGUGAAGCGGCAAAAGCUCAAAUUUGAAAUCGAAGCACCAGGUCGAGUUGUAAUUUGUAGAUUGUAUCUUGAGAGCGGAUUAAAGUCUGUUGGAACACAGCGCCUUAGAGGGUGACAGCCCCGUAAAAUCUAUUCUCAUUGUAAGAUACUUUCGAAGAGUCGAGUUGUUUGGGAAUGCAGCUCUAAGUGGGAGGUAAAUUCCUUCUAAAGCUAAAUAUUGACGAGAGACCGAUAGCGAACAAGUACUGUGAAGGAAAGAUGAAAAGCACUUUGAAAAGAGAGUGAAAAAGUACGUGAAAUUGUUAAAAGGGAAGGGUAUUGAAUCAGACUUGGUGCUGUUGUUCAACACCUGUGUUUCGGCAUAGUGUACUCAAAGCAGUACUAGGCCAAGGUGGGGUGUUUGGGAGUGAAAAAGAAGUUGGAACGUAACUCUUCGGAGUGUUAUAGCCUACUUUCAUAGCUCCUCAGGCGCCUCAGGACUGAACGCUUCGGCAAGGACCUUGGCAUUGAUUCUAUACCGCCCGUCUCCAA